CGGGCGGUGUACUCCCAGAUGGCCUCGUCGUCGGUGAGGGCGUCCUCGCCGAAGUAGGCGCCGUCGGCGACGGUGCGCAGCACGGCGUCGUCGCCGUAGGGGCCGGGCCCGAUCUGGUCGAUGCGGCCGUGGGCGAGGAGGAAGACCUGGUCGGCGGGGCUGCCGAAGGAGGUGAGCUCCUGGCCGGCCUCGAAGUCGACCUGCCGGCAGCGCGCGGCGAGUUCGGUGAGGACCUCCUCGUCGGCGUAGUCGCGCAGCAGGGGCAGCUCGCCCAGUUCGGCGGGGAUGACCUGGACCCGGCUGCCCGUCUUGACGAACUCCACGACGCCGUUGCCGACGGAGUAGCUGAGGCGGCGGUUGAGGCGGUAGGUGCCGCCCUGCACGGAGACCCACGGGAGCAUCCGCAGCAGCCACCGCGAGGUGAUCUCCUGCAUCUGCGGGGCGGACUUGGUGGUGCUGGCCAAGUUCCGCGCGGCCGCGGUGCCGAGACUGCGCUGCGG
rfam:Streptomyces sp. RSD-27 Contig1015, whole genome shotgun sequence.